CUGGGAAGUUAUGGAUGUAGUCCCCAGUCAUGUGUCCUUGAGCUGGCUGUUUUGAUUCUUUGCAUCUUGCUUCCUCAUUGUUAAAGUGAGAGGAUUGGAAUGAUGAUCUCUGAGGUGCCUUCCUGCUCUUAUCAUACCUUCAUUUCAUUCACCAACCAGUUCUUUUUUCCAUUCGUAUGUGAGUCUUACAAAGUGUUUCUCCUAUUUCAUAAAGGAGAUAAGACAGAUAAAAUUCAAACCAGCAUUUCAGCUGUCUUUUGACUGCCAACAAGAUGACAGAUUUAGGAGUGUCUUGGUUUAGUGAUGUGUAGUAGUAAUGAUAGUGAGCUAUGUUGUGUAUAAUUUAAUCCUUAAGCAUGCAUACACCACUUAAAGUUAUUUCUAUACACGUAAAAUGAUAAAAUUGCAGAAUUUUCUUUAACUUUCUCUGUUUUGUUGUUGUAUAUUGUGCUAUUCCCAAAGGAGAAAGUAUAGUGAUUUUUUUCUUCUUUCUUUUGAAAAUCAAGUUCAUGCAAAGUGACAGGUUUAGAACUUAUUUCUAAAUCAAAGAAUGACCAUUAUAGGACUCGAUCAUACAAGUUACUUCCCUAACUACCAUUUAUUUGUGCUAAAAUUGGCUACAUUCCUGAUGAUAAUUCUGCAAGACAGCAGUAGGAUAUGACUUGCCUUCCCACCGUUUGAUAUAAAUCUCCACUGAUAUGAAUUGAGUUCAGCUGCAGUGAACUUAAAUGCUAAUGUUGAAAACAUAAGGCAGCCUGCUGUUUCAUUUAUACCAGAAAGUUUUAGCUUCUGCAGUCUUCUGUAUCCCCCUGCUCCCACCUUAAGUUAGACCAAAUUAGAACUACUCCAUUUCUGUCUGAAGGGUGAAAUGUGCAAGCAUGAUUUACAUAACUCAACAUGAAAAUAGAAGAAGGAAUUAAUCAUAAGGAUUGGUGGCCCAUUCUUGUCCUUGAAAAUAUACCACAACAGUCAUGGGGAAACAUUUGGUGGCAUAGCAUUUAUCAGAUAGCCAACCAGUAUUCGUUGACUACUGACUCUGCCCGGUACUGUGUAAAGCAUUCGAGGGUCUGCAAAACAAUAAUAGUCAAAAUGAUAGUAAGGGAAUUUGUUGAGUGCUCACUAUGUAUCAGGCAUGGAAUCCUCAAAGCAACUUUAUGAAGUAGGAACCUGUUAUUAUAUAAAUUUUACUGAUAGAGAAACAGAUGCCCCAAGAGAUUAAAAAAAAAAAAUGGCCCAAGGACUCCAGAAACCAGGAUUUAAGCACAGGUAUCCAUACUCUUGGCCUCUUGAUUUUCCCUAACUUUAAAGAGUUUACAACAUAGUUUUGAACACAAGAAGCAUAGCUCUUCUGGAAAAGGGUCGGCAUUGCAAGGUCUGCGUAAAACGAAUAGCAUCAGGGUUUCUCCCCAGUCAUGUGAUGUCAACAGAGGUCAAAGUAUAAUUCUGAAGUGGAACAUGGGCCACGUUAAAGAAAAAAACAUGAAUGGGAAAGAAGAGUCAGUUCAAUUGGACAACAUUUAUUCGGUUCAUACCUACGACAUUUCCCUCAAGCUUUUUAAGUUCAUGUGUUUUUCUCAUUGUACUUUUUCUGUGACUCAGAAUCGAUGUUUGGAUACCCUAAUAUUAGGCACACCUGGAAUUUUAUAUGAUCAAUAUGGCUGAUACUCUGAGUUUGGAAGAGAGAAUGGGAUGAGAUGAGAUGAGAUAAGGAAGGUAGGGGCCAGAUGGUGAAAAAUUUGAUCUGUAUCCUAAAUGUGGCAGUGGGGUGAUGUGCUCAGAAUUGGGUUUUGGCAAGAUUAUUCUGGAUGUGGGAUGGGGAAUAAAUUGAAAGAGAUACAAGAAUGAUACACAUGAGCAAUGAUAGUGGUUUAAACCUGAGUUGAGAUGGAAUAAAUGAGACAUGUUUGGGAAAUAUUGAGAUAGUGGAGCUAUAGGAUUUCUGGUUUAUGACUUCAUCAUUCUUUCACACUGCCUUUGUCAUUGCUAUAGUUACUUACUUUUACAUUCCCUUUUUAGUUGACAGUAUUCUGGAUAGUUGGCCUCUUGACUUUUGGACCCCAUUUUUUCUUUUAUUGACUUUUCUAAUUUUUACCUUAUUUUUACCUAUUUCUUUUUUUUCUAACCUAACUUUUCAGUCUCUUUUUAAUUACUUUGCUCCCUUUUAACCACCCAUAAUGGAGCUCAUCAGGGUUAAUUCUAUGAUUGCUUUCCUUCUCUCUCUAUGGUGUAGUGUCUACAGUUUUUCCAGGUGAUUUUAUUGUCUCUGUGCUGUUGACUCACAACUUUAUGUGUCAGCCCUAGACUUCUCCUUGAAGUUAGAGGCUCAUUACCCCAACUGCUACUUUCAAAACCCAUUUGGAAGCCUAACAGACAUUAACUCCGCACAUCUAAAACUUACUUAUUGGUUCCCUACCUUUCUACAACCUCAGAUAAUAGCACUACUACCCACCCAGAUACUCAGUUGAGAAGCUGGAAAUAUUCCUUGAUUUCUCUCUUACUUUUGAUGCCUAAAUCCAAUCAGUCAGGAAAACCUUUCAAUUCUGCCUUCCAAGGUAUCUCAGUGUUUUUUUUUUAUUUCUUUGUUGCCCCAACUCUAGUCCAGUCAUAGUUAUCUCUUAACUAGUUUUCUUUUUCUUUGUAUUUCUUGCUUUCUUAUUUGUCCAUUUACUUGUUUAGUAACUACUGUUUUCCACACUAAGCUAUAAGUUUCAUGAGGGCAGGGAAUUCAGCUGUUUUGUUCUCCAUGGCACUGAAUACAGAUGAUAGAUUCAAUAAAUGUUUGUGGAAUGAAAUAAUAAACAGUCUUAUGGUUGAUUUAAUGUGAGUGGUGAGAGACAGACAAAGGAGAAAAAGGUGCCAGAAAUCAUUCCCAGAUUUCUGAUUUGAGUAAGUGGUUACUUGUUUAUGCCAUUUACCAAGAAAGGAGCAACUUUGGAGGGAAGAAGUUAAGUUCCUUUAUAGACAUCCUUAAGUCUAUAAGUUCCUUAUAGACUUAUAAAUUUAAGAUUCUUGCAAGGCACCAAGUAAAGAGAUCUAAUUGGCCUUUGGAUAUAUUGGACUAGAGCUUAGAAAUCAGUUCUGAUCUAGAGAUAUCGACUGCAAACUCAUUAGCCUAAGGAUGGUACGUGAAAGCUAUAGAAGUGUCUAAGUUCGUUUAAGUGAGAAGAGUGAGCCCAGGGAAACAUCAACAUUAUGGAAUCAGUAGAAGAUCAAAAGUAGCCAGAGUGGUAGGAAGCAAACUUUAGAGUAUGUGCUGUCAAGAAAAAAGAGAAUUUCAUGAAGGAGGGACUGGACAAUAGUGUCAUAUGCUUCUGCGACAUCAGAAAAUUGUAACUGAAAAGUGACCAUCAGCUUUAGCAAUAUGGGGGACAGUGACAAUCUUGGGAAGCAGUUUCAGUGAAGUGUGAAGAAAAGGUCCAAAUUUAAGGGACACAAGGAGUGGUAGACAUAAGGAAGAUGGCACAAAAUUUAUUUUUUAUAGAAAGACACAUUGUCAACCGGAGGUUGGACAGGUUGAUGGAUUUUUUUUUUUUUUAUGUGGAAAGAGAUGUAAGCAUAUUAAAUGCUGUCCAGGAAGAGAGAGCAAGUCAGAGGUGGGGAGGAAGAAAUGAAUAGAGGGGAAGGGGAUGGGAGAAAGAGGAUAACACAGAAUGAAACAUUGAGAAGAGAGAUAAUAACCAGGAGAAUCAGAAUGUCGGAGAAGAUAGAAACCAAAGUACAAGUAGGAGUGGCUUUCCACUGGAGUAGGGCUAGAACCUGUAUUCUAACCAAAAGGAGCAGAGGCCAUGUGCACUUUUGACUGAUAAGUAGAUUUGGUCAAAACUGCAAGAGCUCCAUCUAAUGGCUUCCAUUUUCUUUGUGAGGGAGGAAUAGAGAUCUGUUCUAGGACUACCCAUUUUAGGGGCUUCCCUUCCUUGCAAUGACUACUCUAAAAUAUUCUGUCUGGCCAAGUCCUCUUGAGCUACUAUCUUUCAGUGGUAGUCCAGAAAUGAACCCAUAUGCUGGACUUACCUCUCUUAGUGACAUUACUACUCUAUGGAAGAUCUUCAGAGAAUUGUGACCAGUUUAGUGUUUUUGUGGACAGGCUUUCAUCACUCCCAUGACUAAUAUAAAGUUGUCUAUUUAUUAUUCUUUUGUUCCCUCUUCUUUUUUAUGGCUAUUUUGCAUUUCACUUUCCUGUGUGUUGCCAGGCAUGAUAAGCUGGAGCAGAGAUACUUGGUAUAAUGGUUUCAAAUUAUAAUAUCAGUACACUUUUGAUGCCCCUAGAUAAUUAAUGCUGAAAUUCACAGCCAGCAGUGGUAACAAGAGUCAAAAACAACUCUUAAGAAUAAUGCAGUGUGCUUAAUAAUUGGUUCAUUUUUUUUUCUCUGCCUAGUAAUCAACUUUAUUUUUACCUGCUAUGACAAAGACUGGUUGGGGAAAAUUCUUAUUAUGUGACAGUCUCCUCCUUGACCUCAUCCAAGUAUGAAAGACAUUUUAUCUGUUCAGUGGGUGACUGGGAAUCCCAGACAGUAUUGUAGUCAUGGCUUUUCUAUUUCUAUUUGGAAAUAACAGUAACUACAAUAUCACUCAACUCUUUGGAGACCUGAGCUGCAGCAUUAACAGUCAUCUCACGUUGGUUUAUUGCAUGACCAUUAAACAACUUUGAAAAUCAGAUUUUCACUGUUAAUAAUUAAGUAAUUAGAGAGUUACGAGCUUUGACAAGAGUUCUUCAUCUUUUGAUCCCUACAGGGAAAAUAAAAACAACAAAAUGAAAGUUAAUAUACUGAAACCACUCACUGGUUUUCAAGUCCUACAAAUGCCCUGCCAUUGAAAUUUCAGGGAGUGAUGGACCAAGCACCUCAAGUCACUGGUCUCUCAUCUGUUCUUCUACAUUUUGCACUGUAACAUCAUUCCUUUUUUGCCUUUUCUCCAUCAUGUUAUGGUGACUUCAGAAACACCUCUCCAGGACUGAUUGUGGAACUUCAAUGGCACCCAGUCACAUUCAAAUGAAGAGCUCUCCUUCAAGGUCACUUCUGGAUCUGCCUUUUCAAACAGGUGACAACUUGGGGGAUAUGGAUACUUAUCCCUGCCUUAUGAUGCAUUCCAUUUAUCUAGAAUGUGAAUAUUUCUCAUGCACACACAUUUUAUAUUUAUUUUUUUGUCGAUGCCUAUAUGUAUAGAACCUUUCUGGAAGAACACUCAAGAAAUUAUUAAUUCUGUUUAUAUGAGGAGUAAGAAUGGUGUAAGGGGGAAGACUUCUAUUUUCUACCUUACCCCUUACUGUUUUGCUUUGAUUUUUAAAAAGUUACUUUGUAAUAAAAAUUUUAAAAAGGCAAAGAUAAUUUCAAAAAAUGAGAAAUGAGAAAAUAUAUUUCCCAGCAUAUGACAAAUAUUUAAAAAUGAUUAUUUCCUUUCUCUAGCUGUAACUGGCAAUUUGUCACCCUGUUAUCUGGACAGGAGAGGCUGAGCAGGUCUAACAUGUCCAAUAUUGAGCAAAGUGUUUCUCCAUGACAGAAAUAUGAGAGAAGGGUCAAAGAACUUGCACUGUUUCAAAGUUGGCCAGUGUAUAUGAGUAUUCUUUAUCACAGUCUUUGCAUACAGGGCUGCCAUGUACAGCUGUGUAGGAUGUGCACUGAAUAAAAGUGUCACACCAAGGGAUAUGUUCAUAUAACAGACAUAGUAAAUUGGUAUGUUUAUCACUGCCUUUACCUGGAAGUUAAAAAAAGUAUCCUGUUCAAUAAAAAUUAUUAUAUUAUGACAAUUUCAUACAGAUGGAAGUAAAGCACAUGGGUGCUGUAGAGGAGGUCUGUCAUGACCCACUGCCAGAGUGAUCAUUUCCAACAAUGAUGGAGAAGUCCCAUUGUCUCCUCUUCUCUGACUUCCAUUCACUUUCUUAGUUGUACUGUCAUCUGCCACUGAAUCCUUCUUCUGUCAGAGAAGGAGAAGAAAACAGAGGAUGGCAUGUACUUUACUCUUCCCUGAGCCCUUUCCUUCUCGAACAAGGUACAUUCAGAAUUAGUGGAUGUGUUUAUUGUCAUUUUCUGUGAACCAAGAUAGAAGCUCUCCUGUGGUCCUUGCCUGUAUCAGAGUUCUCUUAAAUAGGAUGUAAGUGAGUUUAAACAAGGUGAUAUUUUCGUACCUUCAGACACAAAAUCUACUUUCAAAUUAUUGUUGACUUUGAAUGACAAGGAAGCUCAAUAGGAUUGAGAACCUUUGCUUGAGUUUAUCAUUUAGUGUAUUUGUCAAAACAUAAGACACAUUGUUAGGACACUGCUUAGAACUUUCCAAAGCAUGUUAUUUUAAUACAUUGCUAUGUAUUAAUAUUUGUAUAUGUUGUUUAGGUUUCGGGUAAUUUAUUUGUAAUAGAAGCAUUGAUAGUUGUGCUUAUGUCUUCAUUGUGCAAAUUUUGGUACUCAGGGUCUAAAAGACAAAAUGCUACAUAAAUACCUAUAUUUUAUGCAUUAAAAGGAGUACAGUUCCAAGAGUCUGCCUUGCACAACUGUUAGUCUUAUACAGGUACAACAGUUUAGUACUCUGGUAACAAGGCCCCAAAGUAGGAUAUUAAAUAGAUAUGAGGUUAUAUCAAUUAGGACUCUCAGUUGUAAGGGAUAAAAACUUAAGUUGAACAGGCUUAAGCAUAAAGGGAAUUUAUUGGCUCCUACAACAGAGUAGCCCAGAAGCAGUGAAGGUUUCAGGACUGAUUUGAUCCAGAGGCUCAAACAGUGUAAUGAGGAAAUAAUCUUUCUUUAGGUGAGUUUCAUUCUCAGGCUUUAUGUGCCAGUAACACAACUGUAAAAAGCUCUUCUCCCUCAGUCUUAUUGCAUCUCUGUAAGACUAAUCAUGUGCCCAUUCCUGAAUCAAUUACUGUAGCCAGACAAUAUGAUCUGUGUGCCCAGGAAUGAAUCACAUGCCCAAACCUGGAGCCAUGGGGGAGUCAACUCUUCUGUAAAUUCAUGGUCUGAGAUAGGAGGAAAGGUUAGUUCCCCAAAUGAAUGUUGGGAUGUGGGUAACAGAAGAAAAGGCACAGGGAAGCAAAAAGAAACAGUGCCCACUUCAAAGGUGGAGAAGUCUAACAAAAGGAGGGUGGAUAGUCUACAUUUCCAGAUGAACAUUUCUCUUUAAGGUGUAUAAGAACAGAAAUAAAGAACAGCAGCUUGGGCAUGCCUCGGGAAUGUGCAGUGACAUCACUGGUUAUGUAUGUCCUUCUGUUAUGCAUUCGUUGUUCAUUAGAUUUACUUAAAUCUUAGUGACCUUUUUGUCUAGAUCUGAUGGAAAGCACUUGCAACGUUUUUUUAUUUUUAAAAUAAUUUCCCUUUUUAACUUCUUUAUUUUUUAAUUGAAACAUUUGCUUUCCCACCCUCCCCUCUCCCGCAAUGCCCCUGCCCCUGCCCCAUCCAUCAUAUGUUUCUGUUGAAAACUUGGAAAAAUCCCAUAAACUAAAAAGAGAUGAACAAAAACCACUCAGACUCAGCAACCUAAAUAUUUUCACUAUUACCAUCUUGGCAUAUUUCUUUUUAUUCUGUUGCUUUAUUUUGCAUCAGAAAUUAUAUGAAUGAUUUGGAAGGAUUAAUGAAAUAAUGAUAAUUCUCGGCUAGUAGCUUGGUAUCUAGAUAUAAAGAUUCAGGUAUAAAAUGUUUCAAGAGCAUUUAAUGUAUGAAAACAAACCUCAAAAGACAACUGCAUUUUCUGAUGCUGUGUUCUAUCCUGCAGGCAAGACAUUAUUCUUUUUCAGGAUAUGAAAGGUUAUUUCAGUGAUAUUGGCUUAAAUCAAAGAGUCAGGUCAAUCUGUCAUAUGUCCCUGAGUUUUCCAAUCAACAGGAUUUACAAUAUUAUUAAUCACAUUUUUAUGUUAUUUUAUCAGCUGUAGAGGUUCUGGAUAGGGACCCUGUGAGAAUAUACAGUGUGUCAUACAUUUUUAAUACACUUGAUAUUAGACCUUCCACAGACCUCCUUUCCAUUCAUAUUGGUAUAUUCUUAUAUUAAAUCAUUUUUCGAAUAACAUGAAAGUAAAGCAGGCAGAAUUCUGCUUUUACUUCUCUUGAUGCUCUUUCCUCCUUUGCAAAUGGGAUCAAAGGUAAUGAAAGGUUGCCUAAGUUAUGUUAGCCUUGGGCCCUCAUAGCCCAGUUUCUCAUACUCAUGAAGGGCACGGCUCUCUUUAGUUACUGAACAAGAUACAAGUUCCUGUGUUCUUUAGACAAAAUCCUGUAUUAAUUCCUGAUGGCUCAGACCUUCCUUUCAAUUUUGAAUUACUAUUCCUAGGGUUUGGUGACCAUUUAAGUAGAGACCAUAAGUCAUGCAUAUUUAGGUUCAUCUGUGGCAGUAUUCUCUGGGUGCUACUUAUGCCCAGAAUAUCUCAACUUCAUUCCUGUACCUUGAUUUUUAUGGCUACCUACCUGAAUGCUAUCUCAUUCCUGUUUGUUUAAGGCUUGGUUCCUUGAACAAAUUCCUACGUGUUCAAUCCCUUAGUACUACAGAAUGUUAAGUUGAAAGUAUCCUAAAAAGUACCUAAUCACGGAAUUUGUAAGCUACCAGCAUUCUCUUUCUUUCGUCUUCCAACUUCUCAGUAUAUAACUUCAUUGUCACCUACUUAGCCAAUCUAUAAGGUUCAAAGUCACCUUUGACUUCUUUAUCCGCCUCUUCUGUCAGCCCUCUGCCAGCCCCAAACCAGUUGGUGUGAAGUUCUGCCAAUUUCAUUGCCAUAGUGUCUAUCCAUCUCUGUCACCUACCUGUUUUUCCAGUGCCGCGUCCGAUAACAGCGCCCACUCUUCCAGUGGGGAACCAGACCACCUUCAUACUAAAUCUCUGUGGUUCAGAUAGAGCUGACACAACUUGUCUCUCAGUCUUUAAAACAUUCAUUGUCAAUCCAUGGGCUUUGUAGGACCUUUGAGAAAAGGCACUCCUCUUUCACUGGGGGUGCUAGUUGGAGCUGCUUUUGACCAUUUUUCCAGCACUUGAUUAGAGCCUGUCUGAAAGUAGAGCUAGGGAGAGUGAGAGGGAAUUCCUAGAGACAUGCAGAGGUGCCUGGAUCCUACUGCAUCAGCCUCCGGAUUGAUUAUAGUCCUUUCUUUCCUUAGUUGAUGUGAAUUUGGUUUCUGUCAUUUGCAAGACAGAGUCCUAACCAAUACAGAGCCUAUGAGCAUGUAAAUAUACCCAAUUUUAGUGAAAAAUCCUUCCUUGAUCCUGUGUCUUGUCUUCAGCUGCUGUCCUUUUCUGUCAUCUCCUUCAUAGCCACAACUCUUAAAGGAGUAGCUUACCAUAGUUUUCAUAGCAUCCAGUUUAUGCAAUUCACUGCACUCUGCCUUCUGCCCAUUCUGCUCCUCAACCCCACCGACAUUGCUUUUCCCAAGAUCCCAAACUCUCUCCUUAGCAACAGCUCCUGAGUUUGCCAUGCUUAUUUACUCUGCUGGUGAUGUUUGAUACUGAAGACUGUUUUCUCCAUCUUCAUAUUCUCUCCAUUUUUCCUGGCUAUUCUCCUGCCUCUCUGGAUAUCUUUCUCAGUCUCAGCCUCCUUUGUGGGUUUUUAAUGUCUGGGAUCCUGAGGACUCUAUCCCAGGUAUACUUUCCUUCUCACUCUACACAUUUCCCCCUGGGUGAUCUUGUCGACUUCAGUGACUUUAAUUACCAUAAAAAUAUUGACGAUCCUGUAUUAGUCAAUAUUCUCUGGAUUUCAAUAGACAUAGCCCCAAUACAAAGUGGCUUAGGUUUAAAGAAAAAGAAAAAGAUAAUCUCUUGGUUUACAUAUUGGAAAUAUACAGUGCUUGACCUGCAUCAAGUCUGGUUGUAUCUGUGUGCUCAUACCAUAGCAUCUGAGUCCAUUGCUUCUAUCUCUCGUGCAAGGUUUCCUUAUGCCCAUUUAGAAAUCCCGGUGGAGAAUGAGAGUUUUCUUCCCAUCUCCAGGAAUGACUUUGAUUGGUCCAUCUCUGAACCUAUCACUAUGGCUAGAGUGAUGAGUGUUCUGAUUGGCCAGAUCUAGAUCACAUGGAACAAGGGGAUGGUGUUAGCCCCAUUUGAACUAUGCAAAAUAAAUUCUCUGUGGCAAAAAGUGUCCUGUUACUAAAAAAGAAAGAAGGAGAUAUUGGGUGGGUAAAGCCAUCAGUGUUCAAAAUGACUCCCAAGGAUAGGAUUUCAGUUUAGAUCUCUUUCCCAGGCAAGAUUGCUGUAUAACCAGCCACCUAAUUGACAACUUUUCUUUCUCAGAGGAGGUUGUUCUUUCUCCCAUGAUUACUGUUUUGGGAAAUUUUUUCACUUCCAUGCACAUGACAAGACCAGUAUCAUCCUUGGUUCUUGCUCCCCUUUCCCUCCAUAUCAGAAACCAAGUCUUGUCCAUCAUGCAUUGUAAAUAUCUCAUGUGACAAUUAAGGAGAGCCUAGAAAAUCACAGAACACCAGUGCAGCCAGUUUGGAACCACACAUAAACACUAGCCCACCUCAUUUCUUGUUUAUAUAAGAAAAAUAACCCCUAUUUGUUUAAGCCACCAUCAUUUGUAUUUUCUUUUCCUUGCAGCUGAAAGCAUUCCUAAUUGAUACAGUGCCCCUGCUAUGUGCUCUAAUCUGUACACUAAUCUCAUCUCAUAUAUCAUUUAUAUUUUAUUACAAUUUGUUAUCUAAUUUUUUGUCUUCUUAGCUAGAAGGCAAGCAAACUUUAGUGCGUAUCUGUCUUGAUUGCCGCUGUACCUCCCAAACCUAGCAGAGUGCCAAAAAACAGAGUGCCAGAAUAAAUCUGAUAAAACUGAACCCACAUUUUUAGCUGAAGUUGUGUAGUAAGUGAACCUCUAAAGAAGAGACAUCAGUAAUCAAUUUCCCAUAGUCUUCACCAUUUAUAUUUUAUCCCUGUCAUUGAUGCCAAGUGUCAGUGGCCACAUCAACUGUGCUUAUACUGCUGUCUAGCUUCCGGUAGAGAACAGUCUUUGUACCUUUGUGACUACAGGUGAGUGAUUAAGGCGUAGCUAUAGGUACGUGAUUAAUAAGUAUUUGUUAAAUGAAUAUGUGGCUUGUACCAGGUCCUAUACCAUCAGUAGUCUCAUUCCCUAGGAUACUAGAAGCAACUUAAAGGAGGCAAAUGCUAAUUAGAAACCAGGUAAUUCUGGUAUCUGGGGUUACACUAUGGAAGUGGCAGAAGGCUUUAAAAAGCUAACUUCUGCUUUUACCCAUGCAUUAGGUCUUGGCUCAAAUAUCACUUUCUUGGGAGGCCUACCUUAAACUUCCCUUUUCUUUGGGGUUAGAAAUCCAAAUGCAAAACAGGGAAUAUAGAUGAGUAUGACGAGAUGAUAUAAGCAGAAGGGCAUCUUAAGCUGUAUUCUUCCAGCACAGACACUGUAUUUGCAUUAAAAACAUGGAGAAGUUCAUCGUUUCCAUAAAGAAAGAGGCUAUUUUUCCUGAAAUGAGCUGCUUUCUCCAUCUUUCUCUUACUUUCUCAUUUUUGGUAGUUCAGUACGAAGACAGUGUCCUCUAUAGGAAGUUAGUCAGCAGGGUAAGCACAGUGAUGGUGGCCACUAACAAUUAGCCUCAAUGUCAGGGACAAAGUGUAAAUGAUGAGGACUUUGGGAAAUUUGCUAUCGAUGCCUCUUUUUCACGGGUUUAUCUACUAACUCAGCUUUGGCUGGAAAUGUGGGUCCAGUUUUGCCAGAUCUGAUUUUUCAGAGAAGAUUUUUAUGUGGAACCUAUCCAUUUUAAAGUUUGGGUCAAAUUAAAACAAACAAGUAAACAAAAUAAGCUGUGCCAAAUGUAGCUGGAGUUCAGAUCUGUCCAUGGCUCCUGAGUUUGCAACCUCUGUUCAAAGAAUCAAACUCUGGCAGCCAUUACUUAACACACUUGACAGAGUAGGUGAUGAGCAUAAAGAUGAAUGAAGUGUUGGUCUUUCUGCUUCUAAUUUCUUCUCCUUUCAGUCUGUCUUCUAUGUAGUUGACAGAAUGAUAUUUAUAAAAUCUAAAUCGGGUCACGUUGUUCCUACUUAAACACCAGAACUUUCCUUGUCAUUCAUUACCUUUAAGUUAGAAUGCAAAUCAACUAGCAUGGUCUUACCUGACUCUUGACCCACCCAUGUAUCUCAUGGUCCAGGCAGGUUGGCCUACUCACCACUGCCUUGGAUAGCUGAGUUUGUUCUAAUUUUAUUCUUACAAUUCCCUCAGGCUAGAAUGCUUUUCUCCUCAUCACAGCCAUAUUAAAUCAUGCUUAUCCUGCAAUUCCAUAUUAGUUGUAACCUCCUGUAUGAAGCCUUUACAGACAUAUGAGACAGAAUUAAUGGCUCCCUCUGUCUUCUCACAUCACUUUUUCUUAUGUCACUGAUGUAGCAUGGGCUCUGUUUUAAUAUAGAUCUAUUUUUAACUGUCUGCCUCUCCAGUUAUGUUAUGAAACACUCAAAGAUAGGGGCCAGAUUUGUAUCUCUUCUUGAGUAAUCUCUUGUAUCUUACUGCUACUUUGCUUUUUAAACUUAAUUUUUCAUGGGCCUGUCAAUGCCUUAGCUUCCCAAUUAAGUUGGAAACUCACUAGGGUAGAGAUUGUAUAGCUCAUAAGACAUCAUUCUCUGGUGUACCUAGAGUACAUGUUACAUAAUUAUCUUUAAAAGUGUCUGAAUGAUUGCAUCAAAGUCUUUUGGAAAAGAAUAAUGAAGAUGCUAUGUAAGACCAGUGAUAUGCUCUGUUCUCUUUAAAGUAAAUUUAUUCUAACGACCAUUAAACUGGGCUUGUUAUUUUUAAUAUAGUCCAAUUUCAUUUUUUUAAAAAAACUAUAAAACCGGAAUUUUAAGUUUUGUAAGGAAAUUCUAUAUUUGUUACAUUCAAGUACAUGAAACAACAGUGCUUUUUAAAUCAGCCCACCCAUACUCCAUAUAACUGUUUUAUGAGUGAUUAAAAGUUUGCUGCCUUUUGGGCUUACGGAGACAAAAUUUGGCCGUCUGGGUGGUGGCUCAGUGGGUUAAAUGUCCGACUUCAGCGCAGGACAUGAUCUCAUAGUUUGUGGGUUCGAGCCCCAUGUUGGGCUUGUGCUGACAGCUCAGAGCCUGGAGCCUGCUUCAGAUUCUGUCUCUAUCUCUCUCUGCCCCUCCCCCUCUCAUGCUGGUGUUCUGUCUCUGUCUCUCAAAAUUGAAUAAAUGUCUUAAAAAUAAAAAGACCAAAUUUCACCUUUGUUUGCAUUGUUUGUUUGCUCAGCAAUGAAUACUUUGUCCCAUCUUCUGCCCACAUUCAGUACAAAGGCAAAUAUCAUCAGGAUAUGAUUGCUUCACUAUGAUUAUUACUACUACACUGGAGACUCAUAUCUGUGGUGCCCCUGUUGAACCAUCCUAUGACAUAUUCUAGUGUGGAUCCAUCUUAAAGUAAUAUAUAAUGUCUGUUAUUUAGGAUUCUUUGGUUACAAGAAACAGAAAUUGGCUCUGCCCGAUUUUUAUUAGAUUGUCAGGUAUCUCAUAGAAUCAAUGGGCUUGAUCUUUCUAAUUCUUGAAAAUUCUGACUAUAUGUUAUUUUCAUGUCUCUUUUUCCUUUAGAUAAAUGAUAUCAUAAGAAACUUAACCUUAAUUUUGAGUGUAGCAGAAUAUCUCGUCGUCUCCUUAAUUGGAGAACCUCAACGAGAAAUAGCUAUCCCAUCAUAACCUUGUGCUCCUCAGCCCUGACUUUCUUCCUCUUUGUUUUGUACUCCAUGGAAAAAAUGAAGUAAUACCAGGAAAGAAGACUUCUCCAUUCUUUUAAUAGGCACAACUGCAUUCCAGACUGUAAGUGAGUUUCAAUUCAAGACUAGUGGAAGGUCAAACUCAGGAUAUUAAUGAGAACCAUAUUUUUUCUUCCUUGGUGGCUAUUAAAAUGAUAGAUGCCAGUGGAGUGGGCUAGAGGAAACCCACUCAAGACCUUGAAUGUUACCGUACAUCGUUAAAUCUCACACAUACACGUGUCAUUUUACAUGAGCAGUGUAAGUGCAGCCAAGCUAAGGCCAUGGCUGCUUCCUUGUCCUGUCUGUCACUGUGCUGUCAAAUCCCAUGCAAACAAAGAAGCUUCCCUUAUUAUUUAUUCCAUGAGGAACAGUGAGGAAGAGCUGGAGCCAGAUCUUGGUGGAUGCAUUCCUGGGCUGGGUUCAAGCCAGGUCAGAAGGGCAGCAGUCAGGCAGCAAAGCAAAUUAUCCCAUGCAGAAUGCUGGCCUGAAAGGUGAUCUGCAGAGGUGGAGCUCUGUUUACCCAAAUGGUCUUGAUCUCUGAAUCUUACCUUUCUGUCAACCGUUCUUAUGUUUGGUGACAGUUUUAAGGGCUGCUGCUUUACUAGACAGCGGUUAUAUUUGGUAUUUGAAAUUAGAGUGGGGAAAAAAAAAGGAAACGUGUAUUAGGAGAGUCAGAGUGAGAAAGUGGAGAAGAAGGAAGAAUUUGGAUAGGUGGUUAACAUGCCAUGAGUCCACUGUCUAAGUUGAUUCAUCAUUUGUUUACUCAGUCAACCUUUAUGGAACACCCUUAUGUGCCAGACACGUGCUAAGUGCUGCCUGUGUCAGUGGUCCCCAGGGCUACCCUGAAAUUUGAUGAUUCACUGGAAGGACUCACAGGGCUCAGAAAAGCUGUUACAUUUAUGUUUAUGGCUUAUUAUAUCAAAAGAUACACAUUAAAAUCAGUAAAGGAUAAAAGCAUGUGAGGUGGAAUCCAGGACAGACCAGUUCAGGUUUCUAGUUGUCCCUUUUCAGAGUAGACAGAUGGUGCUUAGUUCUCCCCACAAUGAUGUAUGACAACAUAUGUGAAGUAAUAUCAACCAGGAGAGGCUCAACUGAGCUCUGUGUCCAAGCCUUUUAUUGGGGGUCAGUCUCAUAGGCAUGGAGCACCACGUAACUGAUCUUAGCUGCCUGAGUCUCCAGCCCCCACAGAGGUCAAAUUGAUACCGUGGGAUGCAGGGCCCAAAGCAAACAAAAACAGGCACUCACCGUAAAUUACAUUAUUGGCAUGAACUAUCCAGUGUGGCCCAAGACUCCAGAUAUACAAAGACACUUUAUCAGGCAGGAUAUCACAAGGCUUUAGAGGUUAUCUCCCCAAAGCUGGUCAAGGACCAGUUCUUAUUCAAGACAAGUGGAAUGUGCAGGGUUCAACACCCCAAACCUGCUGAAUUAACCCUUUACUGCACACUGGGGAUGGAGCUCUUUCUCCCAAGAGCCCGGAAGUCUCGUUAUACAAACAAAUACACAUACAGUAACACAGCCAAUACUGUAUUCUGUUACUUUGACCUAGCUUCAUUUCUUUAUCUUCAAUAGCUAGAGUAUCUGUGCCUGUAGCUGCUAUAGUUACUGGGGAUAAAACAGUUUUCUAACCAUCACCCCUGCUCUCAUGGAGCUUCUGACUCUAGCUGGGGGAGGUAGACCAUAGGCAGAUAUAUUAAUAGAUAUAUCACAUAUCAGAUCUUAUGAAAAAAGUAAAGCAAGGUGUAAGGGGGGGGUAGUGGGAGAUGGGGAUAUGGAGGCUGGUGUUUUAUGUGGGGUAUUGAGAGUAGGUCCCACCAAUAAGAUGGUAUUUGAGCCAAGACUUGAGGUAAGAGAGAGGGAAUCAAGUGGACAUCUCAGGAAGGGAUGUUCCAGGUAGAGGAACAGUGGGUAUAAAGGCCAGGAGGUAGGAGCAUGCUUGUUUUCAAGGAAGAACAAGGAAGCCAGUAGCGCGGCAGCAGAGGGAGGAAGGAGAGUGAGGAGGAGAUGGGUUACAGAGGGGUUGAGGCCUGGAUGGAGAGAUGGGAAGACUUGAGAAGGUAUUGAGAAGAGGAAUGGCAUGGUCUGCAUUAUGUUUCCAAAGGAUCUCUUUCAUGCCUG